rnacentral:misc_RNA from 1 species
AGCCAUCUUAAGAAUGAGAACUCUAAUCCAGUCAUUUCACAAAGUUCAGUUUAUGAUCAUAAACCCUUAAGUCAAUAUUCACAACAAGAUAUGGACUUACUUAUGAAGUCUUCGGCAUUACCAGCACUAAGGGAAAACUCGGUUGUCAAGGAAUCAUCAAGUUUCAAUGAUCAGCAGCUCACAGCUUCUGGAGACACCAAUAAUCUACCAUCCUUGUCUUGUCUACUUUCUUCAGAGCCG